AACAACAGUCCCAGUUUAAUUCGCGUCUAAUGACAGAGCUGCUAAGUGGACCCCUGCCUCUGGAGGUGUAGGACAGAAAAACCUCAUUAACUUUUUUUGUGCGUCUCCGUUUCCCCCCUCAGAGAACGCCCCAGCCUUCUCUGUUGAGUGAUUAGAUGUGCAAUGAAGAAAAAUUUCUGUACAUAUGUAACGUAGUCAGAGCCCAGCGGGACCGUCGCCCGGGGAAAUGCAAAUGAUCUCGUUUUUCUGUGGGUCAAUAACUCAGCCAUGACAUGAAUGAUUUAUGCUUGGCCUGAUCUGAAAACGUUGGUCCAGGCUCGUCCUCCAUCUUCUCUGCUGCUGAUUUUGUUUUUCCCAACAACGUGCAAGUGGUCUGACUGAGAAAAGUAUUUACCCCUAAAAGGUUUUCUUCUCCUAGCUAAAUGUUUCAAAGUGUGACAAAAAUCAAAAACAGACCAAAACAUUUUUUGUUUUUAUCUCUUAUUGCCUCAGUUUGUCUUAAAGUUUUUCCUUAUUGUUUUUAAGCUUUUCUCUGAAAAUGUAUCUUGUCUCAAUUAAAAGAUAUGUUGUAGCUUCUGUGGCUGUAAGAUUUGAAACUGAAUUCAUAAACCAAUCAGUGGAGCUUUUGCUCAGCACAUCUAGAAAAAACGGGGAUCUAAAACUGAACCUUAUUUAUGUUACAAAAUCCAACUAUUGAACCUGAGAUGUUCUGCUUUUAUCACAUCCAACCCAUAAAAUUCAGUCUGUUGCACUGAGAUUAGACCAACACAAGAUGGUGCAUAGUUAUGUAAUAAAAGGAAAAUCAUACUGUACAUGAAUUUCAAAUAUUUUAAUAAAUACAGUCUGUAUUUGUCUUCUGUUUCAAUUGGACCAGAACCACCUGGCUGAAGGUUCAGGUUUUGAGGAUUUUGAAAAAUUUCACCUUUUGUUUUUUGUAUGUAUAAAACAUUUGAGCAACAAGGCAGUUCAAAGUGCUUUUUAUCCUGUAAACAAAAAAUAAAAAGUCAUAAAAAUGUCAUACAGUCGCUAAUUGAGAACCAAUAACCAAUCAAAUUUGUCGAGUUCCAUUGCUGUGCACCUGAAAAUGUCACCGAAUUAUUUGGGUCGUUUUAUCAUUUUGAAAUAUUGUUCAAACUUUUAGCUUAUUUGAAAUGGGAGAGUUAUUGGCGAAGCGGAACCUUUGUUUGGGGGCGUUGCUUCCGGGUUGGUUUUGCGGCGGACUUCCUGUUUGCCUCAGACGCAGUUUUGGUUGUCAUUGGCUCUUUGCUCCUCAGCUUCCGCGUUCGGGGAAAAAGCGGCUCAAUCGUUUCCGAUCUAUUGAAAAAGGCUCUUUCCAC